rnacentral:tRNA from 1 species
UGGAUCACCUCCUAACAGGGAGACAACAAAAUGUUUAAUAUUAUUUUGUCACCUUAGGUCGAUCGGUAUCUCACGUUCUUAAUUUGUUAAGAAUUUCAUUUCCUAAGUUUUUCUAGGUCACACCCAUUAUUUUUCCUGGGCCAUUAGCUCAGGUGGUUAGAGCGCACCCCUGAUAAGGGUGAGGUCCCUGGUUCAAGUCCAGGAUGGCCCAUAUCUCUAUGUUGGGGGUAUAGCUCAGUUGGUAGAGCGCCUGCUUUGCAAGCAGGAUGUCAGCGGUUCGAGUCCGCUUACCUCCACUGAUUACCACCUCUUCCAUAAUCUAUUGAAAGGAAAUGUUUUGAGUUGUGAUCAAUUCUGAACGAUUCUAGCUUCCUAAUGAAUUCAUUAAGAUGCUGGACUCAUUGAAUUAAUUUCAUUGUUUUCAGAGAACCUUGACAACUGCAUAGAUUAUUUUUAAAGACAAUAAGCAUCUUUAAUGAUGCAGAUUUAUUAUUUGUGCGAAUGCAUUAAAUAACAAUUCUAUUAAGCUGAUGCUUCAAUUUUGAAGUUAUUGGUCAAGCUACAAAGGGCUCACGGAGGAUACCUAGGCACACAGAGGCGAUGAAGG